UACGUAGGGGGCAAGCGUUGUCCGGAAUCAUUGGGCGUAAAGCGGGUGUAGGCGGCCUUAUAAGUCAGAAGUGAAAGCCCCGGGCUUAACUCGGGAAGUGCUUUUGAUACUGCAAGGCUUGAAUGUGGGAGAGGAUGGUGGAAUUCCUGGUGUAGUGGUGAAAUACGUAGAUAUCAGGAGGAACAUCGGUGGCGAAGGCGGC
rnacentral:rRNA from 1 species